rnacentral:rRNA from 1 species
AUUGAACGCUGGCGGCAUGCCUUACACAUGCAAGUCGAACGGUAACAGGUCUUCGGAUGCUGACGAGUGGCGAACGGGUGAGUAAUACAUCGGAACGUGCCCGAUCGUGGGGGAUAACGAAGCGAAAGCUUUGCUAAUACCGCAUACGAUCUACGGAUGAAAGCAGGGGACCGCAAGGCCUUGCGCGAACGGAGCGGCCGAUGGCAGAUUAGGUAGUUGGUGGGAUAAAAGCUUACCAAGCCGACGAUCUGUAGCUGGUCUGAGAGGACGACCAGCCACACUGGGACUGAGACACGGCCCAGACUCCUACGGGAGGCAGCAGUGGGGAAUUUUGGACAAUGGGCGAAAGCCUGAUCCAGUCAUGCCGCGUGCAGGAUGAAGGCCUUCGGGUUGUAAACUGCUUUUGUACGGAACGAAAAGACUCUGGUUAAUACCUGGGGUCCAUGACGGUACCGUAAGAAUAAGCACCGGCUAACUACGU